rnacentral:tRNA from 1 species
GGAGGCGGGCGGAAAGUUGGCAACGGCACUCAUAAUGCCGGGGUCGGCGGUUCAAGUCCGCCCGCCGCUACCA